GUGAACCUGCGGAAGGAUCAUUGUUGAGAGAGCAUCAUAGAAUGAUGGAUGAUUGUGAACGUGUGAACGUGACCCUUUCGUCAUCAGCCCGCCCAUGUUGGUGGGCGAUUGACCGUAGCUCGGUGCGAUCGGCACUAAGGAACAACGAACUUGGAAGCAGAGGGCCCCUCAGCGUGAGCGGGGAGCCCAAUGCGUCGGAGAUUCUUCGGAAUCAAAUGACUCUCGGCAAUGGAUAUCUCGGCUCUUGCAUCGAUGAAGAACGUAGUGAAAUGCGAUACUUGGUGUGAAUUGCAGAAUCUCGUGAACCAUUGAGUCUUUGAACGCAAGUUGUGCCCGAGGCCUUGUGGUCGAGGGCACGCCUGCUUGGGCGUCAUGGCAUCGUCGCUUUUGCUCCAUGCUUUGUCGGCAUUGAGCGCGGAAGUUGGCCCCGUGUGCCCUCUCGGGCACAGUCGGUCGAAGAGCGGGUAGUCGGUAAUCGUCGAGCACGAUGGACGUUGGUCGUCGCGAGCGAGAACUGAACGUCGUCCUCGUCGUUUUGGGAUGAGCCCUCAAUAAAGAGACCCUGUGUGAUUGAUGAUUGCGGAGCCGCGCGAAAGCGCCGCGUCAAUCAUUCGCGUGCGGCCCCAAGUC
rnacentral:rRNA from 1 species